rnacentral:rRNA from 1 species
GACGAACGCUGGCGGCGUGCUUAACACAUGCAAGUCGAACGGAAAGGCCAGGCUUUUGUGGGGUGCUCGAUUGGCGAACGGGUGAGUAACACGUGAGGAACCUGCCCUUAUCUUUGGGAUAACUUCAGGAAACAGGGGCUAAAAUCGGGUAGAAUAUCUUGCUGCGUGGGGGGGGUUGGAAAGUGUCGGCGGUGGUGGAUGGACUCGCGGGUUAUCAGCUUGUUGGGGGGGUAGUGGCUUACCAGGCCUUUGACGGGUAGCCGGCAUGAGAGGGUUGACGGGCACAAUGGGACUGAGAGACGGACCAGACUCCUACGGGAGGCAGUAGGGGGGAACAUGGCACAAUGGGCGGAAGCCUGAUGUAGCAGUCCCGCGUGCGGGAUGACCGCUUUCGGGUUGUAAACCGCUUUGGCCUGUGACGAAGCGUGCGUGACGGUAAUGGGUAAAGAAGCACCGGCUAACUACGUG